CAAUAGCGUAUAUUAAAGUUGUUGCAGUUAAAAAGCUCGUAGUUGGAUUUCUGGUGGGAGCGAUCGGUCUGGCGCUUAGCGCGAGUACUUGCAUCGUCUCCGGCCAUCCUUGGGGAGAGUCUGUCUGGCAGUAAGUUGUCGGGCAGAGGAUCCUCAUCGUUUACUGUGAAAAAAUUAGAGUGUUCAAAGCAGGCUUAUGCCGUUGAAUAUAUUAGCAUGGAAUAAUAAGAUAGGACUUUGGUACUAUUUUGUUGGUUUGCGCACCAAAGUAAUGAUUAAUAGGGACAGUUGGGGGUAUUCGUAUUCCGUUGUCAGAGGUGAAAUUCUUGGAUUUACGGAAGACGAACUACUGCGAAAGCAUUUACCAAGGAUGUUUUCAUUAA
rnacentral:rRNA from 1 species